rnacentral:rRNA from 1 species
GGAUGUGAUGGGGAGCGAAAUUUAGUAGCGAAGUAGCUGAUUUCACACUGUCAAGAAAAGUCUCUAUCGAGGUUAAAGGUACCCGUACCGCAAACCGACACAGGUGGGUGAGGAGAGUAUCCUAAGGCCAGCGAGAGAACUGUUGUUAAGGAACUCGGCAAAAUGACCCCGUAACUUAGGGAUAAGGGGUGCCACCAUCCGGUGGCCGCAGAGAAUAGGCCCAAGCGACUGUUUACCAAAAACAUAGGU